UUACAGGAACACAAAGCCCUUCAGAACCAUUGCUGUAAGUAAUGCAAGGCAGAACAAGAGAGAAAAUUUCACAGUGCAAGACUAAGGUAACUGAAGACUCUGUCACCAGUGAUGGAGAGGAGGGAGGACAAUGAAUCGUACCAAGAAUAGCAUGAAGUCUGAAACUGCACCAGGCAAUGGAAAAGAUACUUAUCCCAAGAAAUUUGAGUUAAUGCUCAUGGUCUUUAUUUUCCUCAAGGAUGUCCACUAUGUCUACUGCUGCAGCAAUUACACAGCCUCUUAACAACAAUGGUACAGUUAAUAUUCCAGCAAUUGUCAUCCCCCUGCUGUUGACCCCUGGAAUAAUUGGACUUAUAGUCUGGUGCUAUCUUCAUUUUAGAUCCAAAGGUUUUUAUUUCCAAAAUGUACUGAAGAGGUCCAGGGAAAGUGCCAGUGGAGUGGAUACAAGCCAGUCAGAUAAUCAGCAAGAACACAUCUACAAUCCUAAAAUAACUAAUUAUUCUGCUGAGCGGGUUUCUAGAUCCAACACCUCUCCAAAAUACGAGGUCAAUCGUACACUCUAUCAAACACAACAUAAUUAUGAAAAUGUUAUGAUCGACCCCAUUAAUCACCCUGCAGAAUCAGGAUUUGCAUCACCUGCAGGCCAUCAGCAAAUUCAGGUUUCUCAGACCGUGGAUUAUAAUGAGGCAAUUUAUGAAAACAGUGCAGCAAUAGAUAAUUUGCCUGUGUACUGUAAUUAUACAGGCCCACCAAAUGAUGAAACUGAUGAUACUUACAUCAUUCCAAGCAAGUAGCCAUCUGCAUGGUGAGGACUCUGGACUCUUAUCAAACUGAAAAAGAAGAUUGUUUUUGUGCCUUAGACAGUGAAAAUUGGAGGGAAAUGUCUUAAUAUUAUUUGUUGAACAGAACAUAUAUUUGAGACACAGUAUGAAGGAUAAACAUCUCAGCAUAAUGCAAAAAACAAUAAAAAGUUAUUUUUGGUAUUUCAAAGAAAUGUGCAUUGGCAAUUUGAACUCAGAACAUUACGUACAAGAGAAAAGAACUUUGAAAAGCAUUGUAUUCUGUAUGUCAGAUAUUUUGUCAUCUUUCCAACUGAAAUGCCACUAAAACUGGUUUGCAGAGUCAAAUGUUUUCUUCUCAAAGACUGGCAUCUUAGGUCAUACUCAGACAAUUUCAGUCAAGAAUCCACAAGAAAAUUGAGGUGAAAGAGAUCAACAAGAAAUCAUCCAGGCUUCAGCUAGUGACCCAUCUGAUCAUUGUUUUCUGCAGCAUUUCCAUCCAUUAAGGAACAAUUGUAUUUAUCAAAGCAGCUCUGAUAUAGACAUUGUAAUGAUGAUGAAGCUGUCAGCAUUUGUUGUCACUACUCUGUGAAACUGGCAAGCACAGAGUUAAAAGUGGCAGUCUAGAAAGUGCUGUACUGAUUGUCUACUGCUUCAUAGUUGAAGUCCUCACCAACAAAAAUCAUUUUGAAAUCACCAAAUUUUCCACCUUUAACUUUUUCUUCUCGCUGCAAAACCAAUUGAUAAAGUCACACCUUAUUGAAUGAGCUACAGCUGGGUUCUAAAUUAUGCAUUAUGUCAAAAUAACCAUGAUCGACCCCUCUGAUUCAGAAAGGCUGAUUGAAUAUUAGUGAAACUUGUGCUGAAUUUUACCAUUCCGUGUUAAAUUUGAAAGUUUAUGAAGUAUUAUUUCAGGUUUGUUUGUGCUGUUUCAGCUUCCAUAUUAAUUGUGUCUAUCCUAUUUAAUCGUUUUAAUUUCUGUAAAAUUAUAAAGAUGAUAAAAUAUAGUGUUAUUCCCUUUUUUGCAGUCUAAGAGAAAUCUUUAAUCUGAUUGAUUAUUUAAAAACUGAAAGAACUGCGGAUGAUGAAAUCAGGAACAAAAACAAAAGUUGUUGGAAAAGCUCAGCAGGCCUGACAGCAUCCAUGAAGAAAAAUCAGAGUUACCGUUUCGGAUCCGGUUCUAAGGAAGGCUCACUGGACGUGAAACAUUAACUGAUUUUUCUUGGCUAAUGCUGCCGGACCUGCUGAGCCUUUCCUGCAACUUCUGGUUGAUUAAUUAGCCUGCUUCAUUAUAUUAGAGUUGCUGGAAGCUGGGAGUCACCAAUAGCUGCCAUCAGAAUGAUUUGAAUAUCAAGAAGGGAGGAACUGAUAACUUCAAUUCAUUAGACCUUUGUGAGCAGUUUUCUUCACAGUCAGCAUUGAGCACUACAACUUUGUAGCUAAAUGCAAAGUCUGAAUCAUUAUUCAUUUUUUAUUAACUAUAAAGUAAAUUGCAGUGUUCUCUCUCGCUUUCUUAUAGCAAUGCACCACCAUUAGUACCAGCUCUGGCCUUGACUUUUAGACCCUCCAGAUGCCAAAAUCAAAGGAGGACUGGUAUCAAAUGUAGAAAUUCCCCAAUGUUUGUUGGUUCAUCCCAGUCUCAAGCCUUUUUUCCCAAAGUCACUAUGAAGGGUUGGCAAAGCUAUCCACCCAUGCAUGGAGGGUGGAUGAUUAAGAUCAUUAUGGCGUCUUAAGAACAGCGAAAGGAAGUCACUGGAUAUUUCAGCCUCUAGUCCACGUGUCAUCUAAUCUAGGCUCCAGGCAGGCCCAGAUAUUGCUCUCACUGUUUCCAAUACAACACUAGCCACAGGUUGGUGCAAAUAGAGCCACCCCUCCCACUAGCCUCCACAUCCCUCUUUCUCCCCCUUUCCCCACAUUGGUCUCAAAGCUGCAAAAGGCAUUUUUAAAUUUACAUUUUGACAUGUUGGAGAGAGGGGGACUUAAUGAAUUUUACAUUUCUUUUGCUAACCUUCUUGAGAUAAGCACAGCCUGAUUCAAAUUGCCCGUUAAAUUCACUGUUUAGUUCUAAAAAAAAAUUGCAGUUUACUACAAAAUCUAUACUAACGUAAUUGCACAUUCAUGUCAAAGUUGUUCCAACUUUGAAGAGGGAACAUUCACGGACAAAAAUGAUACAUUAACUAUUUCCGAAGGAUCAUUAAAGACGUGCUCUGUUAUGCACUGCAGACUCAUUUGACAUUAAGUCUUUAGUGGUAUUUAAGUGCUAUUUUCCUAAUUCCAAAUUGGCGCUCCAGGGUAUGAAAAGGGAAUAUUCAAAGGAGAACAGGGGGGAAAAAAACGGUGACUAGCCUGCACCAUCAGUGCCUGCCUUUCUAAUAAUGUGUGACUUAUUAUUUACAGGGGGAUGAAAGCAUAAAUGUUAAUAUCAACCUCUAUUCAAACAAAUACUGCAAAGUAUUCAUCAUCUACGCUUUAAAUUUCAACUGUGUUGUUUCUUACUAUCAUUUUGUGUUCCCUAAUUCAGCUGAAGCAGAGUGAAUGCUUUUCAGAUAUUGCUAUAUACAAGAUUUCAGAAGAAUCAAUAUUUGCAACUUAUUAUUUUUGAGAAUAUAAUUUUUCCAAACUUUUUGAAACUGCAAUUCAGACGUUUAAAAGCUUCAACUGUACACUGUGCUAACAAUUGUAGUCCACCAUUUGCUUAAUGGCAUCCUGUUAGGAUCUUCUUUGAGUUUUGAAUGCUCAAAAUAAAAAUUGUGUCUUUUACCAA